rnacentral:rRNA from 1 species
AUUGAACGCUGGCGGCAGGCCUAACACAUGCAAGUCGAAUGAGUGGCGGACGGGUGAGUGAUGUCUGGGAAACUGCCUGAUGGAGGGGGAUAACUGCUGGAAACGGUAGAUAAUACCGCAUACCAUCAGAUGUGCCCUGAUGGGAUGAGCUAGUUGGUGGGGUAACGGCUAACCAAGGAGACGAUCCCUAGCGGGUCUGAGAGGAUGACGGUCAAAACUGGAACUGGGACACGGGCAAGAAUCCUACGGGAGGAAGCAGUGGGGAAUAUUGGACAAUGGGCGCAAGCCGGAUGCAGCCAUGCGGCGUGUAUGAAGAAGGUUUUCGGGUUGUAAAGUACUUUCAGCGGGGAGGCGUUACCCGAAGAAGAAGCAACGGCUAACUACGUGCCAGCAGCCGCGGUAAUUC